rnacentral:rRNA from 1 species
AACGAACGCUGGCGGCAGGCCUAACACAUGCAAGUCGAACGCCCUAGCAAUAGGGAGUGGCAGACGGGUGAGUAACACGUGGGAACGUGCCCUUCGGUUCGGAAUAACUCAGGGAAACUUGAGCUAAUACCGGAUAAGUGCGAGAGCAGAAAGAUUUAUCGCCGAAGGAUCGGCCCGCGUCCGAUUAGCUAGUUGGUGAGGUACUGGCUCACCAAGGCGACGAUCGGUAGCUGGUCUGAGAGGAUGACCAGCCACACUGGGACUGAGACACGGCCAAGACGCCUACGGGAGGCAGCAGUGGGGAAUAUUGGACAAUGGGCGCAAGCCUGAUCCAGCCAUGCCGCGUGAGUGAUGAAGGCCCUCGGGUUGUAAAGCUCUUUCGCCAGGGACGAUAAUGACGGUACCUGGAUAAGAAGCCCCGGCUAACUUCGUGCCAGCCGCCGCCGUAA